AAUGAACAAGAACCGGGUAAUUGCCAUCGUCAUCAUCAGCCAGAGCCCUGUGGCUGAUGAACACUUUAUACACGGUUCUCUUGUCUCAAGUUCCGCUUUGCGUAAGCUUGUAUAUUCUCAGCUUAGUUCUAAAGUUGUCUCUGCCAGUUGGUCCUUUGAUCGGAGGACCCCAGCCAGCAAUAAGAAGACUGAAGAUUCCCUAGCUCAGUUGAAAACACAGAAAGGUAUUAAGAAAAACUAACUAACCUGAAAAACUCUGGGGUGUAUGUAUGUAGAGUUCUGGACUAGAAGCCAAGGAGGCAAAGUUGCUGUGAGUUAAUAAUGUGUUGUGGCCCUUUCUCCUCCACUCUCCCUUCCCCAUAGGGUGAUGUGUCCCAACGCCUAGAACUGUGUUUUAUAGAGAGGCAGCUAGUCGUGACCCAAUUAUACUCUUCACUGGCCAGACCACAUAGGAAGCGUUGUGUUCAGUUCUAGAUUGAGCACUUUAAGGCUUCAAUCAGGUUGAGAUUACUUCAGAGAAGAGUAGCGUGGUGAAGAGAACUCAAAAGCAUGAGAGGUGGAGAAGUAUCAAACUUGCAAGGAUUCACGUAGAAGAGAGAAAGCGGCUGAGCUGUCUCCAAAUGUGAAAAAAAAAACCCAUCAAGUGAAGCAGAUUUGUUUCAUGUGAUGCAAACUUCAGGGGAACAGAUUUCAGAUCCUGAGAAGAUCUCCUUCUAGCCAAGGAAGUUGUCUGUCUUAACAUCACCCAGGGGUAUUCCCAAAUGUUAAUGGAAAGAUGGUUUAAUGAAGAUAGCUCCAAAUGAAGAGGAAAAAGACUGUGGAAAGUGUGCCAUGAGCAAAGCCAAGAAACUAGACUGUAGAUGCAUUCUAUGAUAAUGAGUACUCUGUUUUGUCUGUUAUGGAAGUUUCUUAAUAGAAAGUAAUGAUAAAGUUAAAAUGUAUAGAAACUAAUCUGUAAGGAGACUCAAUUUUGAAUUUAAAGAACUUGAUACUGUAGGCAGUCAGUAUUUGGCAGUUACAAAAUGGGAUUAUAAGAUUAUCUUGGCAAUGUUGGGUAGGUGGGUUGAUGUUAAUGGAUGGCUGAGAAACUAAUUAAUACUCAUUACAUUUAAAAAUGUAUCAUACCAAAAAAAUAUUCAGUAGGAGAUUAAUUUAAAUAAAUUAUAGCGUAUCUCUAAAGUAGAACACUUUAUAGAUAUUAAAAAAGCAUGACAUGACUGUAUUGCUUGAUAUGAGAGUGUAUCCAAGAUGUACAGUUGAAAAUAGCUUGCAAAACAAUAUAUACAUAACAUGAAUCUGUUUAUAUAAAAUUA